rnacentral:lncRNA from 1 species
CGUGUCCAUUAGUUGCCUAUAAAAAGCAUAAGGUAUCCUGGCGUACCUCACAGCUUCAUUUACACAGUCGUCGACUACAGCUGUACAAUUGAAAUAUUUCUUUGAUUUUGAUUGGACGAAAAGACAGAGGAAAAAAUAAUGAAUGACAUCAUGAAGGCAGUUGCAGUAUUUUUAGCUGUUUGUUCAGUGUCAACGGCAGUUCCCCGGUUUGAUAAAGUGAGGGUGCAUUUUGGUAACAUGUAUGCAGACGAAGAUGUAAUGUUGGACGAGGAGGAAGGGUUUUCCCUUGGUAACAGUGUCGAAAAUUUAUGGAAAAGGAACACCAACUAUAAACCUUCAUGACUUCAACUCGGGAUACACCGCAGUCAAGGAUGUAGCAGACAAGGCGUGUUUCAUACAGAAAUCAAGACACACCAUGCAAGCAUUUAAGGACGAAGUCGAUAUUGCAAAAAACAACAAUGGGGAUUAUGAAAUAUCCCAAUACUACAACUGCGACUCGGAAGAUGAGGUUGAUAAGAUUGGGUUACCAAUUUAUGGUCAAAGGAUAGCAACAUUUUGUGAAAAUUACGACGUGAAAUUUGUGCAGCGCAGAAACAGGAAGUUGACAAAGAGAUCAACUUAUGUUUUCAACGAAAAUGCAUUCUGGUGUGUCGUUUGUGUGAAUGCGUCAUGCUAAUUCAUCAACGAGCAUAUACACGAAGAAGUACUGUAAUAGUAGACAUAUUAUGUUUGAAUGCAUUCCAAUACUUUCUCUUACAAGACUGAUAUAUGUAUUUAUCGACAAUCAAGUGUAGUAAAAUCUUUCAUUAAUAAAACAUAAUUAUCGAUU